CUUCAGAAAAGUGUCUUUUUGUGUUAGUGGCUGUCUAUGCAAGCCAUGCAAUUCGGUUGAAUCCUUCACUGGAUUUUUGGCACCAUGUACUCCAAACCCAGCUUGUAGCUUCCCCCUGAGUGGCAGGAUUGAUUGGCUGCACUCAUAUUGGGCACAGCACUCAGCUACUUGGAUGCAAACAGAACCAUCUGUUACACCUCUAGUUAAAAGAACAUAAAGUUGAGCAUUUCAUAUAGACAAUACCACCC